UACAGAGGUCUCAAGCGUUGUUCGGAUUCAUUGGGCGUAAAGGGUGCGUAGGCGGCGCGGUAAGUCGGGUGUGAAAUCUUGGAGCUUAACUCCGAAACUGCAUUCGAUACUGCCGUGCUUGAGGACUGGAGAGGAGACUGGAAUUUACGGUGUAGCGGUGAAAUGCGUAGAUAUCUGCAGGAACACCGAUGGCGAAGGCAAUCCCCUGGGCCUGCACUGACGCUCAUGCACGAAAGCGUGGGGAGCAAACAGG
rnacentral:rRNA from 1 species